UAUCCCUGUUUCUGUCCCAUGGUUCCCCUGGGGUUCUGCAUGGAAUGUUGGGCUGUGCCCAUAGCAACUGCCCUUGUCUGCUGCUCCUGCGGCCGUUGGUGGAACACUGGUGGAGCAGCACUGGAGCAGCAGCUGCAGCAUCUGCUCCUGGCUGUCCCUCAGCAGCCACCUUCUGCACUCAGCGCCAUAGCUGGCCUCUGCAGCGACAUCCUCAUCUCCUCGUCUGCCGCCAGGCAUCCCCACAGCACUUUGGCACUGUGCAAGGUGGAAAGGAGAGGCACAAUGAAAAGGAAAGUGAGAGCCCACACUGAGCCACACAUCAAUGUUGGCAGUGACUUUCAGGCCGAGCUCCCCGAGCUGCAGACCGGGCCGCCAAGUGAGGCUGAAGAGCCUGCAACCCUGGUCUGGAAGCCCUUGGAGGAAGACGACCCUGACCUGGAUAAACCGGACAGAGUCAGAGAACUGUUGGACAUGGCCAGCUCCCGUGGCCUUCCCGGGGCAGCAGCUCAGCUGGAGCUCGCCCUGCACUGCCUGCACCAGGCUCGCGGCAGCGUUCCGGAGGCUCUGGAGAUGUUGCUCUCGGGGGGGCCUUCAACAGCUCAAGGCCAUCCCUUGGCUGAUUAUCAUUACGCAGGCUCUGAUAGAUGGACACCUGAGGAGAAGGAGGCCUUCCAAAAGGCUUUCCACACCUACGGCAAGGAUUUCCAUCUCAUCCAGAAGCAGGUAAAGCCACAGGACAUUCCUCACCUUGGCAGAUCAUCAGAAGGACAAGUUGACUAUUGUGGUACCAAAUACUGCACCUAUGUCCCUCUUUUCUCAAGUACCAAAACUGUUAAAGCAGUCACAGAACAGGACAUGGAAGGCCUGCGUGAAAAUGGUGAUCCGGCCUCUGCAGCCCUUCUCUCCAGGCUGUUUUGGAAGACAAAGCUCUGUUCUGUUAAACUUGUCUCCCAGGUGUGCUGCUGCUUCCACAACACCUUGUGCUGGGAUAACUGCAGUGAACGGGGCAAAGAAGAACUCUGCUAGAGGGACUUGGUGUUGAUCUGUGCAUUAUAUGUGUUACCACGUAGCAUAAAACUCAGUUUAUUACAUUGCAUAAUGCCUCUCUGACUCCUGCAUAUUGAUUUCAUUUUACACCCUCCUCAAUUUUCUCCGUGACUUUAAUUCCUACUUUACUCUGUAAUCUCGUUGUUCUCCAAUGCACCCUACAGGACGGCUGUUUCAGAUUCCUUCUUUUUCUCUUCACAACAGAUCCCGAGUAAGACCGUGGCACAGUGUGUGGAAUACUACUACUGCUGGAAAAAAGAGCAGAAACUUGCCAGCAGCACUCUUGCUCAGGGAGUUUGAAACAAUCAAGGAGAGGAACAAGCACAGAAGAAGACAUCGCCCACGCAAGGAUGCACAGCCUCUCCCCAAGAAGAAAAGGCCAAAUUAGCCCUGCAUUUGCCCAGGCUAGCAAGAGUUAGGCGUCAAGAGGAUAGAUAGAAAUAAGAUUGUUUUUCAAGUUUUUAGGAUUGUUUAUUCUUCUAUUAGUUUACAUGAUAGUAAUCUCUCUGUUUAUUAGCUAAGAUAUAUAAGUAUUAUUCAAGAUGUAUCAGUAGUGUUAGAUUUAGCAAUAAAUGUAACAGGUUUGGUGUUUCUAUGCUUCAACUUUUCACAUUUUGUCUUUGUUGAGACACAAUCUGUUUUUAUCAUUAAACCAAAGUUUGCUCCA